rnacentral:rRNA from 1 species
AACGAACGUUAGCGGCGCGCCUAACACAUGCAAGUCGGGCGAGAAAGGGAGCAUCCCCGGUACAGCGGCGCACGGGUGAGUAACACGUAGGUAAUCUGCCCUUGAGUUGGGGAUAACCUUCCGAAAGGAGGGCUAAUACCGAAUGAGACCACGGAGUCGAGAGGCUCUGAGGUCAAAGCCGGCCACUUCACGAAAGCUGGUGCUCGAGGAUGAGCCUGCGGCCCAUCAGCUAGUUGGUAGGGUAACGGCCUACCAAGGCAAAGACGGGUAGCUGGUCUGAGAGGAUGAUCAGCCACACUGGAACUGAGACACGGUCCAGACUCCUACGGGAGGCAGCAGUGGGGAAUCUUGCGCAAUGGGCGAAAGCCUGACGCAGCGACGCCGCGUGAGUGAUGAAGGCCUUCGGGUUGUAAAGCUCUGUGGAGAGGGAAGAAUAAGUGUUGGCUAACAUCCAGCAUGAUGACGGUACCUCUUUAGCAAGCACCGGCUAACUCUGUGCCAGCAGCCGCGGUAAGACAGAGGGUGCAAACGUUGUUCGGAAUUACUGGGCGUAAAGCGCGUGUAGGCGGCUUGGCAAGUCGGG